UGAAGAUAAUAGUAUUUUACUACCCCAGAGACUAAUGAAUAUGCUAUUCUUGUGGCUCUUGUACUGUUUACUGGAACACAGUGUUCAGGCCACGGUAGAAGAAAGGAGCAAGAGCACUACAGUUUCCCCUCUGGCUGCCAGCAAACCACCUUAGGAUUCAUUCUGAAUGUUUCAGGUGAGAUUUGUAUCUAUCUGGACAGCUGUAAGAGUUAUU
rnacentral:lncRNA from 1 species